AGACCCCGUGCGGGAGAGUCUUCCGAGAGCCCUCACCGGCUUCUCCGGAGGCGCCGAAGGAGCAAAUCCUCCCCGGAAUCUCUCAGGCACCCGUACCGCAUGGACGAG
rnacentral:ncRNA from 1 species